rnacentral:rRNA from 1 species
CGCGAAUGGCUCAUUACAACAGCUAUAAUUUACUUGAUCUUGACAAUCCUACUUGGAUAACUGUGGUAAUUCUAGAGCUAAUACAUGCACCAAAGCUCUGACCUUGCGGGAAGAGUGCAUUUAUUAGAUCAAAACCAAGCGGCUUCGGUCGUUUUUUGUUGACUCAGAAUAACUAAGCUGAUCGCAUGGUCUUGUACCGGUGACGUGUCUUUCAAGUAUCUGCCUUAUCAACUUUUGAUGGUAGUGUAUCUGACUACCAUGGUUGUGACGGGUAACGGAGGAUAAGGGUUCGACUCCGGAGAAGGGGCAUGAGAAAUGGCCACUACGUCUAAGGAUGGCAGCAGGCGCGCAAAUUACCCACUCUCAGAACGAGGAGGUAGUGACGAAAAAUACACGAGGCCGUUCUCUAUGAGGCCGGUCAUCGGAAUGGGUACAAUCUAAACCCUUUAACGAGUAUCUAUGAGAGGGCAAGUCUGGUGCCAGCAGCCGCGGUAAUUCCAGCU